GACGAACGCUGGCGGCGUGCUUAACACAUGCAAGUCGAACGCUGAAGCUCAGCUUUUGUUGGGUGGAUGAGUGGCGAACGGGUGAGUAACACGUGAGUAACCUGCCUCCUUCUUUGGGAUAACGCCCGGAAACGGGUGCUAAUACUGGAUAUUCACUGGUCUUCGCAUGGGGGUUGGUGGAAAGGGUUUUUCUGGUGGGGGAUGGGCUCGCGGCCUAUCAGCUUGUUGGUGGGGUGAUGGCCUACCAAGGCUUUGACGGGUAGCCGGCCUGAGAGGGUGACCGGUCACAUUGGGACUGAGAUACGGCCCAGACUACUACGGGAGGCAGCAGUGGGGAAUAUUGCACAAUGGGCGGAAGACUGAUGCAGCGACGCCGCGUGAGGGAUGGAGGCCUUCGGGUUGUGAACCUCUUUCGCUCAUGGUCAAGCCGCAACAAUGGUUGUGGUGAGGGUAGUGGGUAAAGAAGCGCCGGCUAACUACGUG
rnacentral:rRNA from 1 species